UGGGGAAUAUUGGGCAAUGGGCGCAAGCCUGACCCAGCAAUGCCGCGUGAAGGAAGACGGUUUUCGGAUUGUAAACUUCUUUUAACAGGGACGAUAAUGACGGUACCUGUUGAUUAAGCUCCGGCUAACUACGUGCCAGCAGCCGCGGUAAUACGUAGGGAGCGAGCGUUAUCCGGAUUUCCUGGGUGUAAAGGGCGUGUAGGCGGGACAACAAGUCAGAUGUGAAAGCACGGGGCUCAACUCCGUGUCUGCAUUUGAAACUGUAGUUCUUGAGUGCUGGAGAGGCUAACGGAACUCCUAGUGUAGCGGUGAAAUGCGUAGAUAGUAGGAAGAACACCAGUGGCGAAGGCGGUUAGCUGGACAGUAACUGACGCUGAGGCGCGAAAGCGUGGGUAGCAAACAGG
rnacentral:rRNA from 2 species